UGCUCCCUUAGGUCAGCGGCGGACGGGUGAGUAACACGUGGGUAACCUGCCUGUAAGACUGGGAUAACUCCGGGAAACCGGGGCUAAUACCGGAUGCUUGAUUGAACCGCAUGGUUCAAUCAUAAAAGGUGGCUUUUAGCUACCACUUACAGAUGGACCCGCGGCGCAUUAGCUAGUUGGUGAGGUAACGGCUCACCAAGGCGACGAUGCGUAGCCGACCUGAGAGGGUGAUCGGCCACACUGGGACUGAGACACGGCCCAGACUCCUACGGGAGGCAGCAGUAGGGAAUCUUCCGCAAUGGACGAAAGUCUGACGGAGCAACGCCGCGUGAGUGAUGAAGGUUUUCGGAUCGUAAAACUCUGUUGUUAGGGAAGAACAAGUACCGUUCGAAUAGGGCGGCACCUUGACGGUACCUAACCAGAAAGCCACGGCUAACUACGUGCCAGCAGCCGCGGUAAUACGUAGGUGGCAAGCGUUGUCCGGAAUUAUUGGGCGUAAAGCGCGCGCAGGCGGUUUCUUAAGUCUGAUGUGAAAGCCCCCGGCUCAACCGGGGAGGGUCAUUGGAAACUGGGGAACUUGAGUGCAGAAGAGGAGAGUGGAAUUCCACGUGUAGCGGUGAAAUGCGUAGAGAUGUGGAGGAACACCAGUGGCGAAGGCGACUCUCUGGUCUGUAACUGACGCUGAGG
rnacentral:rRNA from 1 species